rnacentral:rRNA from 1 species
GAUGAACGCUGGCGGCGUGCCUAAUACAUGCAAGUCGAGCGAACAGACGAGGAGCUUGCUCCUCUGACGUUAGCGGCGGACGGGUGAGUAACACGUGGAUAACCUACCUAUAAGACUGGGAUAACUUCGGGAAACCGGAGCUAAUACCGGAUAAUAUAUUGAACCGCAUGGUUCAAUAGUGAAAGACGGUUUUGCUGUCAAUUAUAGAUGGAUCCGCGCCGCAUUAGCUAGUUGGUAAGGUAACGGCUUACCAAGGCAACGAUGCGUAGCCGACCUGAGAGGGUGAUCGGCCACACUGGAACUGAGCCACGGUCCAGACUCCUAAGGGAGGCAGCAGUAGGGAAUCUUCCGCAAAGGGCGAAAGCUUGACGGAGCAACGCCGCGUGAGUGAUGAAGGUCUUCGGAUCGUAAAACUCUGUUAUUAGGGAAGAACAAAUGUGUAAGUAACUAUGCACGUCUUGACGGUACCUAAUCAGAAAGCCACGGCUAACUACGUG